ACGCUGGCGGCAGGCUUAACACAUGCAAGUCGAACGGUAACAGGGAUUAGCUUGCUAAUUUGCUGACGAGUGGCGGACGGGUGAGUAAUGCUUGGGAAUCUGGCUUAUGGAGGGGGAUAACUACGGGAAACUGUAGCUAAUACCGCGUAAAAUCUUCGGAUUAAAGGGUGGGACUUUCGAGCCACCUGCCAUAAGAUGAGCCCAAGUGGGAUUAGGUAGUUGGUUAGGUAAAGGCUGACCAAGCCGACGAUCUCUAGCUGGUCUGAGAGGAUGACCAGCCACACUGGAACUGAGACACGGUCCAGACUCCUACGGGAGGCAGCAGUGGGGAAUAUUGCACAAUGGGGGGAACCCUGAUGCAGCCAUGCCGCGUGAAUGAAGAAGGCCUUCGGGUUGUAAAGUUCUUUCGGCGACGAGGAAGGUUGAUAGGUUAAUAGCCUAUCAAAUUGACGUUAAUCACAGAAGAAGCACCGGCUAACUCCGUGCCAGCAGCCGCGGUAAUACGGGGGGUGCGAGCGUUAAUCGGAAUAACUGGGCGUAAAGGGCACGCAGGCGGUGACUUAAGUGAGAUGUGAAAGCCCCGGGCUUAACCUGGGAAUUGCAUUUCAUACUGGGUCGCUAGAGUACUUUGGGGAGGGGUAGAAUUCCACGUGUAGCGGUGAAAUGCGUAGAGAUGUGGAGGAAUACCGAAGGCGAAGGCAGCCCCUUGGGAAUGUACUGACGCUCAUGUGCGAAAGCGUGGGGAGCAAACAGGAUUAGAUACCCUGGUAGUCCACGCUGUAAACGAUGUCGAUUUGGGGAUUGGGCUUUGAGCUUGGUGCCCGUAGCUAACGUGAUAAAUCGACCGCCUGGGGAGUACGGCCGCAAGGUUAAAACUCAAAUGAAUUGACGGGGGCCCGCACAAGCGGUGGAGC
rnacentral:rRNA from 1 species